CUGCAGAGCACACAGCGACUCGUACUAUGAGCAACGUGGCUCCCCUGGAAACAGUCAUUCAAGUGUCUUCGGCGGUGCUGCUGCUGUCACUAUGCUUGUAGGUAUCUCCCCUCCCUCCUGGCUGUAGCCAAAUUUAAAGCCCAAAGAAUUGGCUGAUUCAACCCUUCAGGCACCAAGGUAUUCAGCACAGGCACAUGGAACCCGGAUCCUAGACAUCGGGAGAUGGCAAAAGAGCCAGAGCUUUUGGAGAACAAGAGACAAGCCUUUGGUCUCUCGAUGUGUUCUGAGAGCCAAAAAUGUUUGUGCCAACUUAGACUUCAUUACUGGAAACACAGCAUGCCACACAAAGAAUAAAAUGCCCACUUCCCCUGGACUGCCCUGAGCCAAGCCACAUCCAUACAACACUCCUACCAAUCCUGGGUGCUACCAGUCACAUACAAAAGGAUUGAGGUAAGUGUGGGGCAAAUGUCUUAGAAUACUAUAAACCAGUCAUUACAAUAGUCCUAUAAUGUCAGACAGUUUUCACAAGUAGCGGUCGAGGGUGAGAAUAUUUAACCUCAGAGAAACAUAAGCUCUGCUAGUGACCCUGUGCUUGAAAGUAACCACAGUGGGAAUGGUAUUCCAAUGCCUUCUCUUACUGAGCCCCUACUGUAGACCAGGCUCUGUCCAGAACAAAGUUCUGUGGCCUUGAAUCAGAUAGAAAAGAUCCUCUAACAGUGACCAUAGAGGAUGUGGAUAGCCGGCCUUGACCAUGGCCUUGGAUCUGUGUGCCCAUUUUCUUUCUCUGAUGGGCUGGGCUGGACACUCAGAACAACUCCAGUUCCCAUCUUCCCCUGUGCCUCAGAGCUGACAGCUCCAGUCAGCCAAAGCCCCCUUUUCCUCACCCUCUUCAAUGCAUCCCAGAGCCGAGUCAAACCUGGACCGAAUGCCUACAACCAAAACCACUGCUUGGCUCGCCUUGGAAGGGGAAAAUGGGAAACAGGAGAAAGUGGCUUUAAAAGUGAGAACCAACUUUUGUGUUUGCCCCUUUUGUCCAAUAUGAAAGCAGAGAGGAGGUGGUCAGGGUGCCACGCUUGGCCUGCAUUUGAGACACCUUUCUCCUUCCUCACAGUGUGUGUAGCCUUUCACUGGUUUAAAGGGCAUGACCCCGCUUAACCCAAAACACCUUUAUCUGUUUCUAGAAAUAUGUUAACAGUGCCUCACUUCUUGCUAUUGCUUGUUGUUUUCUGACAGAGUCUCACUAUGUGUCAUAAGCUUACUUGGAACUCAAGGUCUUCCUGCCUAGUCCUCCAGCAUGCUAGGAUAACAAGUAUAUGCCACCCGGUCUGGCCCUUGAUUAGCAGAAGCCUCUAGAAAGGAAAAGUUAUUUAUAAAAGAAACUCACAUUCCUAUAGGAGAAAUGAGAGCAAUAACCACUAGGCUCUUUCUUGCAUAGGACUGUCAAAAUCAGUGGCUGAGAGGCUGGGAGCACUGGAAGUGAAGUUAUUGAAAGCAGGAGAUGAGCUCUGGUGAGCGUGUGUAUGGCUGUGUUGAGGCUCUAAGGUUAUGUGCUGGGACAAUUUUGACCCAAACUUGCCAUCUAGGAAGCAGCCACCACAGAGUUGGCAGCUGAGUGCUAUAAAGUCUGAGGCUGAAGACAUCGGAGUAACGUAGCGGAAGUGAAAUCAGAUAGCAAACACACUAAACACUUUGUCUCACCAAUUUUAUCUAAUGCAUUUGUUCUAUUGUAUUUCAUUUUUGUUUCAACCACCACGUGGAAGAAGGACUCAAAACUCCUGAAGCUGUAACAGAGAUGGACGACGGAGCUCAGGGAUGGACCAUUGCUUUGAUUCUUUUUGUACUGCUGUGAUAAAAUACUCUGAGGCAACCUACAUAACGAGGGGCUUACUUGGGCGUAUGGUUUCGGAGAGUCCUUCAGUCAGAAUCAUGGCAGCAUGGCGACUGAGAGCUCACAUCUUCAACCAUAAGCAGUAAGUAGACAGAGUGAACUGGGAAUGGCUCUUGGCUUUGGAAGCCUCAAAGGUUAGCCCCAGUGACAUAACAUACUACUUCCAGCAAGGCCACACCUUCUAAAUUUACCCAAACAGUGCCAUCAACUGGUGACCAACUGUUAAAACGUCAGCGCCUAUAGUGGUCAUUCUCAUUCAAAGCACAGCAUGCAUGCUAUGAGCCGAGUCCAAUCCUCAGUCCCACUCCCAAAAUAAAAACACAGUUUCAGAAGAGCAGAUGGGGCUAGAGAGAUGGCUCAGCAGUAAAAGUGUGUGUUCUUACACAACCCUGUGUUCACUUCUCAGUAUCCACAGAUCGGCUCACACACAUCCGUAACUCCAGUUCCUGACCUUCCCAGGCACCAGGCAUACAAAUGAUACCCAGACCUACAUUUAAGCAAAAUGCUCUUAAGAGUUGGGAUGCCGAGAUUUACAGCCAUUAUGCCCAGCUCUGAUUUCUGUUGUCAGUGGUAGUUUGGGGGUAUGCCUUUUUAUUGAAGUCCACGAAUGAAGAGAAGUAGAUUUAAUUUCCUGACUCGUGACUUUUGCAUGGUCUAGAUUAUCUAUAACAGGUGAUUUUGCUUCUGUUUUUAUGAAGCCAUGUGAAACUGAGGACAAGGCUAAUAAUGAAAAAGGUACUGUAAGGCAUGACUAUGCAACUUUAUAUCCCAAUCAAACAAAACUAUUAAGUACCAAAUAUAAAGUACAAAGUAAGUUUGCAAGGGCUAGACCUCUCUGCACCUUCCACAUCGAGUUUACCUCAGUUUACAAGGAGGAGAGGAGAAAACAUUUUAAAGUUUAAUUUCUACUUUUAUCCAUCCUUCCUCUUUCUGUCCCUCCUACACUACUCAUUAUCCAGUCCAAGAUACAGUUUGUAGUCAGUUAUAUAAUACACAGGUAACUUGGUGCAGUGACUCAGCACAUAAGAGGUAGAGACAGGUGGAGCUCUGUGAGAUAUAGUCCAGCCUGGUCUACAUAGUGAGUUCCAGCCAGGACACAGUGAGACCCAGUACUCUACUUAAUAAGGGCACUUAAGUGCUUUAACCCCCCUUCUAGUGCACCACCCACCAGAGGUAGUAGAAAGGGAAGGUUAAUAGGGAAAAAGAAGAUGUGGACCUGUUUAGAAGUAGUUCUUUAGGUCCGAUCUAAUCUUCAAUGUCUGGGUAGCAGCAGUUCAGUUCACAAGCUCCAUCCAUUUGCAAACACCAAAUCAGCCAUGGCAGUUCGAUCUAGAAUGAACCUGGAGGCUCUGUCGAUUGGCCUGAAUCUGCUGAAGCAGCAAGAAGCCCCUGGAACACCACCAGAAGUUCUUUGGUGUGUCUCUCUCUUCAAAAUCACAGCAAAUGAUCAGCAAAGAAGGCAAGGCAACCAAUGCCACACAGUCUGGGCCACUGCCCGUUGGGUUAUAGUUAUACCGUCUCCAAACUCAAGGCUGCUCUCAAGUGUCCACUCCAGCAAAUCAUCACAUACCCUUUUUUCCAGGUAGCUUCCAGAAAAACACCAUGUGUCUGUUCUCAGCAAACCAUCCUCCCACAUGUCUGCUUCAGUAAAAACAUCCUCUCAUAAGACAGCUUCCAGAAAAACAUCACAUGACACAACUACGUCUCCAAAGAAACCAGAAAUUUCCACUUCCAUUCCCCUCUCUUUAAACAGCUCUGCAGUAAGCUGAGGUAAACUUGAUGUAGAAAAGUGCAAUGCUACUUUGAGUCCUUAAUGUUUAAGCCUAUAAAGAGAGAAGUAUAAAUCCCACCUGAGAAUGGCUCAACAGUGCCUGCCCAAGAUACAGUAUCUGUGGCUGCUGCUGCCAUCUUGUGACCAGGAGAGGAAGUAGCACACAUAGGGCUGGGAAACAGAGGUGGCCAUUGGGUCAUUGACUCUUAGAAACAGCCUUUCUGUGUAUGUUCCGUUCACCUUGGCAACCUUGAGAUGUCUGUAUUUAGGGAUGAUAAAAUGCUUUGUCGAUUUUAAGUUUGCCUCCUACUUAAUUACAAAAUCUUUCCGGCUGUUUCAAUA
rnacentral:sRNA from 1 species